rnacentral:rRNA from 1 species
GUCUGGAAAGGCGCGCGAUACAGGGUGACAGCCCCGUACACAAAAGCGCAUGUGCUGUGAGCUCGAUGAGUAGGGCGGGACACGUGGUAUCCUGUCUGAAUAUGGGGGGACCAUCCUCCAAGGCUAAAUACUCCUGACUGACCGAUAGUGAACCAGUACCGUGAGGGAAAGGCGAAAAGAACCCCGGCGAGGGGAGUGAAAAAGAACCUGAAACCGUGUACGUACAAGCAGUGGGAGCCCCACCACCAAAGCAUUCUCUGGUGUUGAAGGCCCUGCAAAGCAGCAUCGCGGUGGCGGAGCGUCGUUUGCGACGCCCAACACACAAAACAAGCGGUGAAUGCUUUGGGGUGGGGUGACUGCGUACCUUUUGUAUAAUGGGUCAGCGACUUAUAUUCUGUAGCAAGGUUAACCGAAUAGGGGAGCCGGAGGGAAACCGAGUCUUAAUUGGGCGUUAAGUUGCAGGGUAUAGACCCGAAACCCGGUGAUCUAGCCAUGGGCAGGUUGAAGGUUGGGUAACACUAACUGGAGGACCGAACCGACUAAUGUUGAAAAAUUAGCGGAUGACCUGUGGCUGGGGGUGAAAGGCCAAUCAAACCGGGAGAUAGCUGGUUCUCCCCGAAAGCAGC